rnacentral:rRNA from 1 species
UAUCUCUGUAGAGUCUGCAUAUCAAUAAGCGGAGGAAAAGAAACUAACAAGGAUUCCCCUAGUAACGGCGAGUGAAGCGGGAAGAGCUCAAAUUUGAAAUCUUCAAGGUUUGACCUUGACGAAUUGUAGUUUAAAGAAGUGUUUUCGGUUAGAGGAGUAGUAAAAGUUCUUUGGAAUAGGACAUCAUAGAGGGUGAGAAUCCCGUAUUUGACUAUUCUUUCUAGCUUUGUGAUACACUUUCAAAGAGUCGGAUUGUUUGGGAAUGCAGUCCAAAAUGGGUGGUAAAUUUCAUCUAAAGCUAAAUAUUGGCGAGAGACCGAUAGCGAACAAGUACCGUGAGGGAAAGAUGAAAAGAACUUUGAAAAGAGAGUUAAACAGUACGUGAAAUUGUCAAAAGGGAAGCGUUUGACACCAGUGUUGUUUUUCCGAAAAUCAAUUAAAAAUUGAUUCAUGCCAGGUUGUAUUGACCUUAUCAGCUUGCAAUUUGGUUUUGGGUCUCUUUUUGAUGCACUUUUCGGUUAACAAGUCAACAUCAAUUUCCUUUGCUGUAAAAAGGUAAGAGGAAGGUGGCUUCAAUUUCGGUUGAAGUGUUUAUAGCCUUUUAUCUCUGCAGUCGGGGAGUUGAGGUCUGCAGCGUAGAUCCUUCGGGGCUAGAUACAUUUAUGCUAAGUUAUAGCUUUUCAUAGACAACUUGUUGACUAUGUUUAGUCAUGUAGCUUACUCGUAAGUGCUAUUUUACCUACGCUUAGGAUGUUGAAGACUCUACAGAGAUA